GGGCGUAUGGUGGAUGCCUUGGCAUGCUGAGCCGAUGAAGGACGUGUGAGGCUGCGUUAUGCCUCGGGGAGUUGCCAACAAAGCGUUGAUCCGAGGAUGUCCGAAUGGGGAAACCUGGCCCUGGUUAUGUGGGGUUACCCUUCAGUGAAUUCAUAGCUGUUGUGGGGGUUUACGCGGGGAAGUGAAACAUCUCAGUACCCGUAGGAGGAGAAAAUAAUAAUGAUUCUGCUAGUAGUGGCGAACGAACGUGGAUGAGGCUAAACCGUGUGCAUGUGAUACCUGGUAGGGGUUGUGUGUGCGGUGUUGUGGGCCCCAACGUGCGGUGACUGCCAUCAUCGUGCUUGUGUGUUGUUGUUAGGUGAAGUGGUUUGGAAUUACCUGCCGGAGAAGGUGAGAGUCCUGUAGUUGAAGACAAUGGCAUGCGGGUUGUUGGGUUGCCCGAGUAGCAGCGGGCUCGUGGAAUCUGUUGUGAA
rnacentral:rRNA from 1 species